GCCAGGUGUGGUAGCGUGCACCUGUAGUCCCAGCUACUUGGGAGGCUGAGGUGGGAGGAUCACUUGAGCCCAGGAGGUUGAGGCUGCAGUGAGCCAUGAUCGCGUCACUGCACUCUAGCCUGGGCGACAGUGAGAUCUGUCUCUU
ensembl:misc_RNA Metazoa_SRP Metazoan signal recognition particle RNA